UUUGGUCUGAGGCAACCUUGGGGCGUGGAGCGGGGGAAGAGCCGCCAUUUUGUGGCAUGGCUGCCAUUUUGUGUCUGGUAAAACAAAGGGGAAUGGAGUAGAGGAAUGGCUGCCAAUUUUGUUUGUCUGGGGAAACCAAGGGAUGUGGAGUGGGGGAAUGGCCACCAUUUUGUGUCAGGGGAAACCAAGGGGAAUUGAGUGGGGGAAUGGCAGCCAUUUUUUGUUUGUCUGGGGAAACCACGGGCAGGGAGCUGGGGAGCGGCUGCCAUUUUGUGUCAGAGGAAAUCAAGGGGAAUUGAGGGGGGAAAUGGCAGCCGUUUUGUGUCAAGGGAAGCCACAGGCAAUUGAGUGGGGGAAUCGCUGCCAUUUUUUGUUUGUCUGGGGAAACCAUGGGGUGUGGGGCUGGGAAGCGGCUGCCAUUUUGUGUCUGGGGAAACCACAGGGCAUGGAGUGAGGGAACAGCCACCAUUUUGUGUUGGGGAAAACCAAGGGGAUUGCAGCUGGGAAACGGCUGCCAUUUUGUGUCUGGGAAAACCACAGGGCAUGGAGUGGGGGAACAUCCACCAUUUUGUUUAUCUGGGGAAGCCAUGGGGCAUGGAGUGGGGGAACAGCUGCCAUUUUGUGGAACGGCUGCCAUUUUGUUUCUGCGGAAACCAUGGAGCAAGGGACUUUGCGGAGACUUGAGGGGCUUUUUAGGGGGAUGGGGGGCUUAAAAGCCAGGUUUGGCGGAUCCCUUUCCUCACGUCUCCAGCUCCCGGAGCUGUCCAUAUUUCCUCCCCACAUGUCAUCCAUCACUCUGGUCCCAGGGCACCUCCUUCAUGGUUUCUGAUGCAAAGGUGGAACUGCUGGAGUUGAUGUUGGCACACCGGAGACUCUUGAUCUGAGCUUCUCUCAGUUUGAAAAGCUGCUCUCCCGUGCCUGCCUGGCACACAGGGAGCCCCCUUCCAGCAUAUGUCACCUCAGCCUCGGGUGCUGGCACAGCCUGAAUCCUCAUCUCCACUUCGUGGUCUCCUCGUUAAUCUCUAAGGUUGGAAAAAAAGUUUCUGAAGUUUGUUAAAAAACCCUCUGAAUUAAUUCUGCCUUUGUGUGGUCAGCCUGUGAGCCUGGAGCACACCUGAACCAAGGAGCAAAUUAAGGUUAAGUGCAGUUUGCCUGAGAAAUCAUAACUGCCACACCUGGGUGCAACAAAGUGUGGAAGCUCUUGAAGCCCCAACUCGUUAUUGAGAGAAUACAAUUGUAAAGACAGUUGAUGAGAACAGAAGAAGGAGCAGAUGAUGGCACCAAAAACUGCCCUGGAGCUGUGCCUGGUGCAAACAGGAUCCCGUGUGGAGAAGCAGAUCGUGCUCCUGCAAAGUUGAGAUCCCAAGUGGAGGAUUCCUGGUGACAGCCAGCGCUACUGCCGGGAUCUGGGAGCUGCCUGCGGGCGCCGAGCUGGAGCAGAGCAAGCAGAGUCAGGAGUGCUCAUAUUGACAGAUCAGCAUGGUGGAUUUUAUGGAGGAUUUCUACAGCUGAGGGAUAACUGUGAAUUCUCAGGUUCUCCUCUGAUGGUGUCCAUCUCACAGAGCUCUCUUAGGAAGCAGCAAGUGGACCUGGGCCGUGUGAGCACCUGCCAGGAUGUACACUCACGAAGUUCAGGACCAGACUUCUUUUUCAGCCUGAAAUAUUCCUGUUGGGCUCUCAGACACUCAGUGGAGUGAAAGCAAACAUUUUGAAAAUGUGCAGAUGGUAAAACAUUGCCUGCCAUGAACUUCAUGAUGCAAAAAAAAAAGAAAGAAGAAAAAGCUGUGGUUUGGAAGCUGCUGGAUAGCAAACUGCAGGCUGGGAAUGUGGCUGCUGAAACCACUGCAAGGAUAACAGGGCAUACACAGUUUGAAGAGAAGAAGGGAAUCUUCCAGGUGGUUGUGUCUUGAAAACCAGGUGCUGCUGUGCUGCUUCCUGCCCAACCGUGCUGCACUACUCCAAGGGACUGGCCAGCACUUGCAUGUUAAUGUAGAAUUCUUGAUGCAAUUACAUGUGAAGAGGACAUUCAGAUGCACUUCCAUAAAUGCCCUUCUGCUUCUCAAUUACAUUAACUGUCUUUGUAGAUCCUUUGACAGAAACCAUAUUCUUCACCUUUUUUUCUAACUAGCAAACAGGCACUAAGCUAGACUUUGCUGUUAUCCAAGAUGUCCCGAUCAAAGGGCUGAGAGUAAUACAAUAAACACAAGAAAAGAAACUACUGGUGGUUUCCAAUGCAAACGAACGGGAAAGUGUCAAGUGAGCAGCUACUGACAAUUCCAGCCCUGAAACCAAAUGUUCGUGUGCGAAACUCCACCUCUGAGAAGGAAGAAUAAAUACCCACAGAGUGUUUUGGCUAUAAUUACUUCAUUUAAGGGGAGGAGGGGGGGGAAAAAGUGCUGAAUUCAGUUUGCUGAAGUCAGGAUAUUAAUAUUUUUGGCAUGUAAAGAUGCAAACCAAAUGUUUAAAUGAAAUGUCAUCCCCUGGGUUCGCGUUUGCCCAUUGAACUACGGUACAAACCCUCUGCAGACCUUCAUACAAUACACAUUUUUCAGUUCAUUGAAGAAGGCCCCUGCUGCUUCUCAAGGAAAACUAACUUGCAGAAGCAAAAUAAAUAGUGGUGUGGCAGCGCGGCAGCGGAGCCUCGGAGCACAGAUGUGCAGCACUGUCGGCCGCCCCAUCAGAUAAGGAGCAUUCAGACAUAAUCACCCCAGUGUCUGGGACACGUCGCACGCGGCAGAGCUGCCCAAGUAUGGCCUGACAGACACAUGCAGGGUGUGCUCGGGGUAAAUGGCAACAAGCUGACAGUAUUUCAUAACAGUCCUGUUAUGUCUAUAGGCAAGUGUUUGUGUAAUUUAGCUUGGGCUUUGAAAUAGGUUCAGGACUCGGGACACAAAUGGAGCUUUGUGAUGAGUUGUGGGUGAUGUUGUACCUGCUGGAUGAGGAUAUUGGCCCAAGGAAGGGGCAGCCUUGGGGUGUCACACUGGGAAGCCUCUGUCGGUGCCGUCAUCUGCCCAUCCAACCAGCAGGGCUGCUCCUGGAAAAAUAUGUAUAUAUUUUUAGAUAUAUAUACAUGAGAAGGCCACCAUGAUGACAAGAGGGGUGGAGCACCUCUCCUACAAGGACAGGCUGAGAGAACUGGGAUUGUGCCGCCUGGAAAAGAGAAGGCUUUAGGGUGACCUAACUGUGGCCUCCCAGUAACUGAAGGGAGCCCACAAGAGACAUGGAGAGAGAUUAUUUGCAAGGACCUGGAGGGACAGGACAAGGGGGAAUGGCUUCAA